ensembl:miRNA
CGCCGGGGGCUUCAGCAGGAACAGCUGGGUGGAAGCAGAGCUGUUCUGCUGUGGCUGCAGCCCUG